UCACUGUUAUUGUUGUUGUUUACUGCUUGCUGAGCUCCUUAUUACACCAAAGUCAAAAUGAAAAAGACUAACUAAGCCUAUUAGCUACGAGUUACAAGAUUCCUAUCUAUGAGUCUUUUGAAGCUUGAUCUUGAGUUUUGGCUGGUUCUUCCUGCAGACUCUGAUCUGAACCUUGAUGCUUGCUAGCUGCAGGUGCUAGUUCAUUCUUCUUCGGCUUUUCAGAUCAAGAUGCGACAUGCAAAGCUUGCGACUUCAAUCAUGUCUUGGUCAUCCUGGACUGUCGACUUGCAUUCUUGAGGUGAGCUUCUGUACUUCUAACUUGAAUUGAAUUCUGAAAUAACUUCCCUCAUUCUUCAGGUGGGCACCUGCAACUGACUUGAAAUUUGAACUGAAUUCCCUCGUUCUCCAGGUGCCUGCUAAUGACUUGAAAAUUGAAACAAAUUCCCACAUUCUCCAAGUGGGUGCCUGCCGCUAACUUAAAACUUGAAAUAAAUUUCCUCAUUCUCCAGGUGGGCGCCUGAUGACUUAAAACUUGAAAUAAAUUCCCUCAUUCUCCAGGUGGGCGCCUGCUGACUUUAAAAUCUUGAAAUGAAUUCCCUCGUUUUCCAGAUGGGUGCCUGAUGUUGACUUAACACUUGAAAUGAAUUCCCUCAUUCUCCAGGUGGGCGCCUGAUGUUGACUUAAAACUUGAAAUAAAUUCCCUCGUUCUCUAGGUGGGCGCCUGAUGACUUAAAACUUGAAAUAAAUUCCCUCAUUCUCUAGGUGGGCACAUGCUGACUUAAAAACUUGAAAUAAAUUCCCUCGUUUUUCAGGUGGGUGCCUGAUGUUGACUUACACUUGAAAUGAAUUCCCACAUUCUCCAGGUGGGUGCCUGAUGCUACAACAAAAUAGACAAAACAAAAGAAACUUUUCUGCCCCAGUUUGUACUAGGAAGAUUUGUGAGUUGUUAGCAGAACUAUAAAUCACCUAUGUUAUUGAUGAAUGAUGCAAUGAUGAGAGUAAAAUUAAAGACUCGACUAGGAUGUGCGUCUCCUAAAGAAAUAAAAAUCUGAAAAACCUAAACUAGAAAGUGCGUCUCCUAAAUUUUAGAUUGAGCUUGCGGAAAACUAUAAACUAAGCUUGACUAAACUAAAAACUGACCCUAUUCUCCAGGCGGGACCCCUGAUUUCAAGAAAACUAAAGAUUGAUAAUUUAAGAAAACUGAAAAUUGACCCUUUCUUUUUAAAAAAAGAAAAAGAAAAAAAAAUCCAGACUUCCCUUUUUUUAAACUUAUUAUCGUAGCAGAAAAUUCAUUAGAUUAGGUUUUAAUCUUAGGAGAAAGAUUCAUCAGACUAAGAUUUUG
rnacentral:lncRNA from 1 species